AUUGAACGCUGGCGGCAGGCCUAACACAUGCAAGUCGAGCGGUUGAGGGGAGCUUGCUCCCUGAUUCAGCGGCGGACGGGUGAGUAAUGCCUAGGAAUCUGCCUAUUAGUGGGGGACAACGUUUCGAAAGGAACGCUAAUACCGCAUACGUCCUACGGGAGAAAGCAGGGGACCUUCGGGUCUUGCGCUAAUAGAUGAGCCUAGGUCGGAUUAGCUUGUUGGUGAGGUAAUGGCUCACCAAGGCGACGAUCCGUAACUGGUCUGAGAGGAUGAUCAGUCACACGGGAACUGAGACACGGUCCAGACUCCUACGGGAGGCAGCAGUGGGGAAUAUUGGACAAUGGGCGAAAGCCUGAUCCAGCCAUGCCGCGUGUGUGAAGAAGGUCUUCGGAUUGUGAAGCACUUUAAGUUGGGAGGAAGGGUUGUAGAUUAAUACUCUGCAAUUUUGACGUUACCGACAGAAUAAGCACCGGCUAACUCUGUGCCAGCCGCCGCAGUAAAAC
rnacentral:rRNA from 1 species